UGAAAUCAAUUUCAUGGGCUGCAACCAGCACU
rnacentral:piRNA from 1 species